UGACCCGGCGAUGUCCGAAUGGGGAAACCCAGUGCAAUCCGUUGCACUAUCGUUAACUGAAUACAUAGGUUAACGAGGCGAACCGGGGGAACUGAAACAUCUAAGUACCCCGAGGAAAAGAAAUCAACCGAGAUUCCCCCAGUAGCGGCGAGCGAACGGGGAGCAGCCCGGAGUCUGAAUCAGCUUGUGUGUUAGUGGAACGGUCUGGAAAGUCCGACGGUACAGGGUGAUAGUCCCGUACACGAAAGCACACAUGCUGUGAACUCGAAGAGUAGGGCGGGACACGUGGUAUCCUGUCUGAAUAUGGGGGGACCAUCCUCCAAGGCUAAAUACUCCUGACUGACCGAUAGUGAACCAGUACCGUGAGGGAAAGGCGAAAAGAACCCCGGCGAGGGGAGUGAAAAAGAACCUGAAACCGUGUACGUACAAGCAGUGGGAGCCUCUUUAUGGGGUGACUGCGUACCUUUUGUAUAAUGGGUCAGCGACUUAUAUUCUGUAGCAAGGUUAACCGUAUAGGGGAGCCGAAGGGAAACCGAGUCUUAACUGGGCGUUAAGUUGCAGGGUAUAGACCCGAAACCCGGUGAUCUAGCCAUGGGCAGGUUGAAGGUUGGGUAACACUAACUGGAGGACCGAACCGACUAAUGUUGAAAAAUUAGCGGAUGACCUGUGGCUGGGGGUGAAAGGCCAAUCAAACCGGGAGAUAGCUGGUUCUCCCCGAAAGCU
rnacentral:rRNA from 1 species